GCGUUGAAUUCGAAUGGGAUUUUGUUUUCUCUUUCUUUUUGGGUAACAAUCCCAAUGAGAUUACUAUUUACAUUAGCUAACUGCCUUAAAUUCCUUUCUUACAUUGGUCCCUUCAUAUUCUGUUCACAUAUAUCAAAAUCACAAAAACAUUUCUUACAAAUUGGGCUGUGUUCACCUAUAUCAAAUUCACAAAAACAGUUUCUCUCUACAGCAGCUUAAAAUCUUGCAACCCAUCACUUCCCACCACCAAUCUCUCUGAAUGGGAAGUAACGGAAAUAGUUGGGCGGAUCAGUGGGGCAGUCAAAACGACGUCGGAUAUGAAGAUGAUGGCGGCAAAGGAAAAAGCAGCGGCAAGAAGAUGGAGAAGGUAACGGCGGCGGCAUCGGCGAGUUUUGACAAGGCAAAGGCGGCGGCUGUUGUAGGAGCGAAGAAGGUGAAGAGUGGUACUUCUCUUGGGUUUAAAUGGAUUAAAGACAAGUGCCAAAAGGGAAACUCUACAAAGUAAAUUGAGGGGAAAAAACAAAGAGAAAAUAGAUAAGGGGGAUGAAAAGGGAAGAAUGAUUGGUGAAGGAUUUUUUAAUUAGUUUCUCAGCUGUAUCAAAGGGCUACCUAUGCUUUAUCAUAAUGGAUUGUUUGAUGAAUGAAAAUUGUGCUUUUUCAUGCA